CCCUUUCCGUGUUGCUCUUGAUGGCAAUGAUGCACUUGGAUUCUUUGAAGAAGCAUUAGAAAAAGCCAAUCAGUUCAAUAUACACGGUGUUAAGUUUAGAUGUCAUGUGAUAGUCCAGGGUGUGAUAAAAAAAUAUUAUUCCAGUAGUGGCGUCUACAAAUGCUAUUCUAUGAAAAAUUAGUUGAUGCACAAGACGUUUUAUGGGUAAUGUGACAAUUAUUGGCACUUCAGAAUCGGCUUUUAGAGAAAUGGAUCAGCUGAAGAUAGGAAUAAAUGCCAGAGGAUGUUGUGUACUGCCCUCGUGGCUUUGUUUAUUCUAGGAAAAUUGUAUGUAGCAAAUGCAUGUGCGAUACGUGUGAAAAGAAUAUAUUUGAAGAGAAUAUCUGGCGCUACCGGAAUCUGGAGAUUUAGGAAAGACUGAGAUGUUUACGGAUGAGGCGUAUGCAGUAAGAUUAUCUGAAUAUAUCUGCGAUUACUGGGCAAGGAAAGAAGAUGGUGUAACAAGAAGAUUUGGUGAUGAUAGUUUACUUGUUGAGUUGGUACAAACACUGGCAAAACCUCGAAGUAGAAUGAAGACAGAUAGGGGAAUUCAAGACAACUUUUUAGAGCAGCAUUAAGUAGAAAAAAAACCUUUAAGUAGAAAAAAGUUUGAGACUGUGUUGGAUAUACUCUUGAUUUUUUAUGGGUAGAUUUUAAUGGAAUAAAUUGGGAAACUGUCCCAAAUAUUGGUAUUUUAGAGUCAGCUUUUAGAGAAAUGGCACACAUCAGGAUCAGUCGAAGAUAUGAAUAAAUGCCAGAGGAUGUUGUGUACUGCACUCGUGGCUUUGUUUAUUCUAGGAAAACUGCAUAGAAAAUGCCCAAGUAACAAGUAAAAUCCUUUUUCUGUUCUAUCUUCCCAGAUAUUUUCGCCAGAUCUUUGAAUAAAGAGAAUUUAGUUGGAUUCUGAUAAUCUCAGCACUUUGUUCUUCAUCUAAUGAAAAAAAAGUCAGAAAUACCCCGGAAAAAUUCAAAGUUUCCAUGGAAAAACCGAAAGAGUUUUGUCAGAAAUACUCCGGAAAAAGCGAAGGAAUCUCAUCAGAAACGAUUGAUCAGCACUUGGAAGAGGUUUUGGAACGUCCGGGACCCUCUCGAAUUCGAACCAUCUCCGGAUUUUCUCUACUUCAUCCUGUCCAUUUACAGCGCAUUUACAGGGACCCGUGCGUUUGCCAGCUGUUCAAAUACCUGGCAAUGAUGUGUUUCAAGCUGAUCGAUAUGGAUAUCAUCGAUUUGUCGCAUUUAAAUCGACAAUUUCAGUUCAGGCACAAAGAUAUCGGUGUGUUUAAAGCACAGAUAGCAGCAAACUAUAUCAAUGCCAGGAUAGCGGGAUACCAAGAAACAUGACCUCGUUAUCCGAUGGAAGAUUUAAACGAAUUGUGUGGAUUCUCUGUGAUUCUAGCAGAUAUGACAGCCUGUGUUGGAAGUACUCUUGAUUUGUAUCCUCCCAGUCACAUUGCAAAUAUAAAGUUGUACAGUGGCCAAAAGAGAAAACUCUUUCCGUGUUGCUCUUGAUGGCGAUGAUGCACUUGGAUCUAUGAAGAAGCAUUAAAAAGAGUCAGUCAGUUCAAUAUACACAGUGUUACGUUUAGAUUAGUACAGGGUGUGAUAAAAAAAUAUUAUUCCAGUAGUGGCGUCUACAAAUGCUGUUCUAGGAAAAAUUAGAUGACGCACAAGACAUUUUAUGGGUAAUAAAUAAUGUAUUCAGCUUUUAUGGUAAAUAAAUGGGUAUUCAGCUUUUAGAGAAAUGGAUCAGCUGAAGAUAGGAAUAAAUGCCAGAGGAUGUUGUGUACUACACUGGUGGCUUCGUUUAUUCUAGAAAAACUGUACGUAGCAAAUGCAUGUGCGACACAUGCUAGAAGAAUAUAAUUGAAGAGAAUAUCUGGUGCUAUCAAAAUCCAGAGAUUUAGGGAAGACAGAGACAUUUAAGGAGGGACGUAUGCAGGCAAAAUUAUCUGAAUAUAUUUACGAUUACUGGACAAGGAAAGAGGACGGCGUAACAAAAAGCUUUGUUGAUGAUAGUUUUCUUGUAGAGUUGGUACAAACAGUGGCAAAACAUUGAAAGUGGAAUGAAGACAGAUAGGAAGGACUUUGGGGAAUUCAAGACCGCUUUUUGGAACAGCAUUAAGCAAAAAAACCUUUAAGUAGAAAGAAAGUUUGAGACUAUGUUUGAAUCACCCUGUAUAUUGACAGAAAUAUUUUUAAAGUAUUUUUUUACCAUAGUCUGGAUAUUUUAUCAAAAAGAUUAGAGUGUAGAGACCUUGAAUUAAAAGCUUUAAAUAGAGCAUUUGACAUGCAACCAGUAAUACACGAAUCUACCGUAUGAUCGAGAAAAAAAACGGCGUCCAGUUGGCUGGGAAAUGAUCGAUGACAUUCCCCAUAUAAUUUUACAUAUAAAAUGACGGCUAUCUUCAUUUCAUAGCCUUCUCCGACGCCGUUUUUUUUUUCGAUUAUACGGUAUCUUUAAUCAAUUAUACAUUCGCUAGUAGAGAUUUAAAGCCGUUUUAGUUAUGUAUUUCAUACAAUCCAUUAUAUUAUUAGGUACCUAUGUUCUAUUACAUCCUGUAUAUGCAUCUGUAUCAUUC